rnacentral:lncRNA from 1 species
GGGUAAUUGGGCUGUAAGAAGUCCACACAAGUCACCUUCCAUGCGGUCCUCAAUAAUGUGGGAGGAGCAAGAACUCAUCUGUAUAUUUGUAGUGUACUUGGCUAACUUGGAUCUUGUAAACAGAACAGUACGUGGGCUGCAGCUGACAUUUCCCGAGUCCACAAGAAAACAAGUACACAUAAUGACCUAUGAAUCAUACUUUUUGGGUUAGGGUCAGUCUGGGGGUUUUCCUGAUUCUCUGUUUUGCAGAGAAUGCAGGCAGUGGGGGUACAGAGCCAUAAAGAGAGAGAGAGAGAGUCAUGUCAACUCUGUUUAUAGGACUUAUUUCUAUGAAGAAAUAUUGUAAAAAGCGCUAUACAAAUAAAUUUGAUCUGAAAACUUAAAUCUGAAAAUGUAAAUAAUGCUCAAUCAUUUUUACUAACCUCCUAUUUUAGUUUUCUUUAUUGUUUAUUUUUUAUAUUAUCCAUUCUAUUUUUAUUCUAUAUAAAUAAAAUAAACCUUUGGUUUUGCACGUCUUGUGGAGGAUGUUAAAGGGUAAAAAUUUAAUGUUUUGGUGAUAUCUUAAUUUUUACAUUGCAGUCAAUCAGCAAAAGUUGCUCUUGGCUUUGUUUUCAUGGAGGGAAUUCAUUGGCGGUAAGUGUGGCUGUCCAGAAUAUGUUCCUCCUGAACUGCAUUCUUUUAGAUGACUCAUACGUUUCACUGUUGUACAGUAAGAAAACAUAUGUUGGGUAUCUGCUUUCACAGUUUUGCGGUUCCUCCUAGAAACAGUAUUAUUUAAUCUGAGACCAAUGCUCUCUAUUCGUCAUAAGGGGGUGGGCGUGUUUUAUAUUCGAACAUUUUGAUGUGUCCCUGUUUGGCAUCGUUUUCCACAUUCUGUAUACUCUCUGAGCGCGAGGAUGCCCCGGAGCUGCCUUUAUCACGGUACGCUAACACACACUAGUUUCAUUAUUUCAUUUCUACCUCUGAAUCUGGAUUAAUUAAUCCUGGUUUCUUCUCAUGUUAGUGUUGUGGAUUUUUCCGAGCCUGUGGGCCACAGUUUUUCUACAUGAUGGACUAAAAAGUUUGUCACAGUGUGCUGGGCUGUUAAUGGAUGAGGAUAAGUACACAUGCUGUGGAGGGACCAUACACCAGGGAGCUCAUCUGUCCUGCUGUGGAAACUCUGCCUACAACAUCCUGAAGAGUUCCUGCUGCCUGAAUGAGUUAACGCUUGGCUUGAGCCAGUCUGUGUCCCGAUGUUGCGGAUCACAGGCCUACAACCCUCUGAAUCAGAUUUGCUGUGGGGGACGUGUCCAAAUCAGACACAGUGCUCAGACCAAAUGCUGUGGUUCAGGUAAGCGUAAACGCCUGUUCAUUUCAGAGGAAAUAUAUUUGGACAGUGAUAAAAUCUUUGGGC